rnacentral:lncRNA from 1 species
AGUAAAGGUCAACAAUAUUGGGGCAUUGUUGAUAACAAGCAGGGGCACAUAAUUUGGAAACAAAUCGAGGCUCAAGCAAAUCAUCAGAUGAAAUUCCAAAGAAAUUUCUAUUAAGACCACAAGAUUCAAUACAUUCAUCUGUUUCAAUGUGUUCCUUCAUGUUUUGAACCAUAACUUCUGAUGUCUUGCAUUCAUAUUCACUACUAAUUAAGUCAUCUUUUGGUUUUUUUGCUUUUUCUAAUACACACCUUUUUCCAGUUGAUGAAAUUGCAAAUGCACAAUCACUAUUUGGUAAACUCUCACAUUUUACCUCAGCUACAAAAAAGAAAGAGAAUGGUUAGGUAGUUGUUCGUUCUGUUUCAAUUUAUGCGACACAGUUUAACUAAAGUACAUAUAAAGUUAAAGAAAAAUAAAUCAAUUUGUUGUCUAAAAUAAAUCUUAGAAUAUGUGUGGCUAUGAAUCAUUCGGUAAAGAUAAUAAAUUAAUAUUUUAAAGUUAAAGUUAUUUAUGAUUAAAAAAAUGUAAUAUUCUUUUUAGAGACAGACUUAAGAAAAGUGUGAAGAUUGAUGGAGAGUGGAGUACAAGAAUAAUGUGCAUUAAGAGAGAUUGAUCAAGAGUGAUUCAACUGAGUUCAGUGUUUUCAGAAUUAUUAUUAACAAAUCAAUAAAUCCAAAUUAUAUGUUCAUGCAUGAAUAAAGACGAGAUUCAAUUCAACAAAUUGUUUUUUCAUAAUAUUGAUUAAGAAAAAUUGAUGAGAUUCAACUAAAUAUAUUAUUUUCACGAUUAGUAAAGAAAUCAACUAACUCACUUUUAUAUACCGCAUAAGCGACUUGGAGGAAAAGGGAACAUGUAAAAAAAAGGAUCAAAGAUGAUUUCAUUGAUGAACCCAUUUAUUUUUCUUGUUUUUCUCUUUUGUUUAGUUGGGAAUUUGAUUAUUUUUUUGUAUAUUUUUUUUUGUUGUUGGAAAAAAGAAAAUGGAGAAAGAACUUUUUUUUGUUUUAGAUGAGUUUGAAUGAAGGGUUUUCUUAGGUUUAUAUAGGGAGUUGUUUUGUGUAUAAUGACCAAUAGAAAUCAUACAAAUGUUUGAUCAAUAGCUUAAUUAGUUACUUUUCUGUUUUAAUCUUUCUUUGGUGAGGAUUAUUUUAAAUAUUUGAUGAAUUUUUAUAAGGUCAAAAUUUAAACUCACAUGCUAAAUUAAUUUUUUUUAGCAUCAUUUAACAUAUCAUUUGGUACCUAAGUGGUUUAAAAAGUGUGCUUAUUCUUUUAGAGACAUGUGACAAAUAGAAAAGAAGUACUAAAAUCUUAUUAAUAUAAAAACACGAUUUAUAUUGAGUUAAACUUUGCUUAGUUAUUGAUAUGUAAUGUAAAUUGUAUGGCAUGUUGAUUUAUCUACAGACUUACUCCCUUCGUUUUACUCCCGGUUUAUUCUAGACCUCGCCUCACUCACAUUCCAUCAGAAAUUGGCCUAGCCUAAAAAUUUUAGAUCAUUAUCUAAAAAAAAAAUUUGGCCUAAACUCAAUUAGUGAAAAUGAUAAAAAGAAGGGAUAAGAUAUCAGAAAUCCUUAAUUAUAACGAAUUUGUCAGUUACACACUUAAAUUAUGCGAAAAUCAUAUUAUCUCUUAAACUUGAUAUUUUUGUAUUACUAAGACCCCUAAACUAUGCAAGAUCACAUUGCCUUCUUGAACUACCUAGAAUUUUAUCACCCUGAAACUUAAUUGUCAAGAUUGCAAUGAUUUUCGUGCCUAGCAUCACUACAAAAGCAGUGAGAAUUACAUGGGGAUUUUCUUGGAUAUAAGUAUGAAAAUUCGCAGGAAGCUUAUUUUCCUACAAAUUUUCACACUAAUUCCCAGGAAAAUUCUCAUUUAAUUCACAGUUUUCUUGUAGUGAAUUGUCUGAUGAUGUAUUGCAUAGUUAAGUGCACUCUUGCACUGAUCAUCUAUAUGUGAAGACACAUCACUCGUUUUGAGAUUGACCUUUAUUUCAAGUCAUCCACCACUUAAAUGACCUUUGUUUCAGAUCCAACCAAACAUAAAUUUAUUACCUUCCUCUCGUCCUCUUCACCUUCUCCAACCAAAACGCCUUCAUUCUCACCACCUCCAACAAGCUUCAAUCAGCAACUAUAAGUGAGAACCAACAACAAAAAAAAAACCAAAUCAACUUAACCAAUAAGUCUCAACUAUCCUAAAGCCGCCAACCCCAAGCUCCAGCGAGAUUGUGAACAACUAAAAACAAUCAGACCGCCAUUAUCUUUAGGCAACCGAUCACCACCAAAAUUCCAAUUGGGUAAAAUUCAAAAUCAACUUCGAACUAUGACAAGAUUGUAAACAAUCAAAAGUCAUGCCAACAUUUUUUACUUCAAUGGAGAGAGUAUAAGAAGUAGGAAGAAUGAAAAGAUUAGGAAGAUUAGAAGAAGGGGUGGAGUAAAAUUGUGGGGAUGGAGAAAUGAAAAGGUAAGAAAGAUAAGACAUUAGACUUUUAAUCUACAAUUUUGUUACUUUCUCAGUUUGCAAGCUUCCUUUAUUGAAUAUUAAGAUAUUCUUUAUGAAAUUGAUAUAAUUCGAUUCAGAAAUCAAACAAACUCUUUUUAAUUCUUAAAGAAAUGUGAGAAUGUAUACAGAGCGUAGGCUUGCUUUUGAGCACUCUAAUUUCUUCAAAGUAUCAGCGCCGAAGGCACGGCCCGACCAUUUAGGACAGGAGCGCAUCGCCGACAUAAGGGACGAGACGACCGGUGCAUACCUAGGGCGGACCAGCCGGACCAUCCCAAAGUCUAACUACGAGCUUUUUAACUUCAACAACUUAAAUAUACGCUAUUGGAGCUGGAAUUACCGCGGCUGCUAGCACUAGACUUGCCCUCCAAUGGAUCCUCGUUAAGGGAUUUAGAUUGUACUCAUUCCAAUUAUCAGACUCAUAGAGCCGGGUAUUUUUAUUAAUUGUCAUUACCUCCCCCUGUCAAGAUUAGGUAAUUUGCACGCCUACUGCCUUCCUUGGAUGUGGUAGCCGUUUCUCAGGAUCCUUCUCCGGAAUCAAACCCUAAUUCUCUGUCACCUGUCACUACCAUGGUAGGCCACUAUCCUAUUAUCAAAAUUUGAAAGGGAAGAAAUUUGAAUGAUGCGUCGUCGGCACGAUGGUCGUGCAAUCGAUGAGUUAUCAUGAAUCAUCGCAGCAACGGGUAGAGCCAGCGUCGACCUUUUUAUCUAAUAAAUGCAUUCCUUCCGGAAGUCGGGUUUUGUUGCAUGUAUUAGCUCUAGAAUUACUAUGGUUAUCCGAGUAGUAGAUACCAUCAAACAAACUAUAAUUAAUUUAAUGAGUCAUUCGCAGUUUCACAGUCUGAAUUUGUUCAUACUUACACAUGCAUGACUUAAUCUUUGAGACAAUCAUACGAUUACUGGAAAGAUCAACCAGGUAGCAUUCCUCAAUGACGUCCCGUGUCGCGCCUGUUCGGGCACGAUUGGUCCAAGGCAAGCGCGACAGUCAUUCCCAAGGAGCAUUCGUUUUGGGCAGAUAGGAGCCGGUGAAGGACCCAUGCCCACUACGUCUACCGUAUAUGAGAAUUUGAGACGCCGCUCGUCGACCACGCCAUUGCACGACGAAGGCGACCGAUUGCAAUUACAUAAUGCUUAGGCAUUGGGUAUGCAGCACAAGAUUCCGAUAUCCGACAAGCCUAGAUUGCUCUUGAUCCGCCAGUGAGAUGGCAUGCGAGUUAGGACGUCGCUACUCAAAGCAUGGAUCCAACCUAACCACACAUGCCCAAUACCACUCAUGCGUCAUACGUGAAUAGCUCCGUUGAUGCACGCCCGACAUCCGCCGGGAUGCCCGACAUGAGAUGUCGUGCGACGACGUCGAUGCCUUCUUUGCAAGGCCAAUGCUACACCCACCGUUGCGCGCUCGCCGAAGGGGGUUGAGAAUUUAAUCACUGCAGAGAUGUUAGAGCAAGACUAACGUUCACCCAGGGGAACCUCUCAUGCCCGAUCCAUCAUAGCAUCUGGCCGUACAUGUCUUACGUGCCCCGUGCGUGCGACACCUAGAGUUAGCUGUAACAGGAGCUCUAGAACUCACCACUUGCUCGAAAGCACUGGCGUUUCUACUCCAAACGCUUAUAUAGAUCGGUCAUGAGAAGUUCCCUCGGCAGCGCACUGUCGCCCCGUAGACGUUGCUAGCAUGUUUUUGUAAGCGCCCAAUGGCGUAGCACGAACAAUCCAUGCAUGACAUCAAGCGCCCAUGCAACACAUCUACUAAGCCCAUAAAACGCCUAUGACGUUCUCCUUGUUACGUCUCAUUCGCCUCGCAGACGUCGCUGACAUGUUUUUGUGAACGCCCAACGACGUAGCACGGAAAAGUCAUGCAUGUCAUCAAGCGCCCACGCAGCACGCCUACUAAGCCCACAGGACGCCUUUGACGUCCGCUUUCUUUUGCCUCAGUCGCCCCGCAAACGUCGCUAGUAUGUCUCCGUAGACGCCCAACGGCGUAGCACGGACAAGCCAUGCAUUCCAUCAAGCGCCCACGUAGCACGCCUUCGCCUCAAAUGCCCAACAAAUGUCGCUAGCAUGUUUUUGUAAACGCCUAACGGCGUAGCAUGGACAAGCCAUGCAUGUCAUCAAGCGCCCACACAACACGCUUACUAUGCUUACAGGACGCCCUUAACCCUACCUUUGCCUCAGUCGCCCCGCAAACAUCGCUAGCAUAUUUUUGUAGACGCCCAACGGCGUAGCAUGGACAAGCCAUGCAUGCCAUCAAGCGCCCAUGCAACAUGCCUAUUAAUCCCACAGGACGCCCAUCACGUCUGCCUGCCUCGCCUCAAUUUCCCCGCAGACGUCGCCGGCAUGUUUUUAUAAACGUCCAACGGCGUAGCACGGACAAGUCAUGAAUGUCAUCAAGCACCCACGCAACACGCCUACUAAGCCCAUAGGACGCCCAUGACAUUCGCCUGCCUGCGCCUCAGUCGGUCUCCAACACCUCUACUCCUCUUAUAUAUGCUUAAGAAAGUUUUACCCAUGUGAGAGGAGUAGAUAUUAUUUUUCUAGAGAAUCAAAUGUACAACCCAAAUAUGCACGUUCUAAGGUACAAACACACAUUAGCUUUCACAAAUCACUUUAAUAUAUACAUAAAAAAUAUUUUUAAAUUUUUUUAAAAAUUUUUAAUUUUUUUUUGAAAUUUCCAAAAAAUUAGUAAUAAAUUAAUAAUAAAUAGGAAAAAUAUCGAAAAAAAUAUAAAAUCAAAACCAAAAAUUCACAAAUAAAUAUAAUAACCUUGAUAAAAAAUUUAGUGCAUUUUAAUUUUUUAAAACGAGACGUAAAAAUAAUAAACCGUAAGAAUAAAUUAUAAAAUAAUGAUUAAAAGUCAAAAAAAUACAAAAAUGCUCAAAAACACUUCUAAACAUGUGAAAGUAUUGAUAGACUACAUAUUUUGUACAAAUAAAGAUGUUUCAAUAUUGUACGAACCGUAAAAGAAAUGAAGAAUGAUAAAGACAAGCCACGUGAGGCGGAAGCAUUGAGAAUAGAUAAUGGAAAAUAGAUGAAUAUGUUUGUUAUGCAUGAAAGGUGUUUCAAACUCCUUUGAUUUAUGUAUGGCAUGGACAUCUGAAUGUUUCAACUAGAGCUUGGCCAAUGGCGCGCAAGUCAUGGCCGAUGCGAGCAGGCCACGACCGACCGUUGUGUGCAGCAUGUCCAACGACGGUCAACCGUGUGUGUUGUCCAAGGGCUAUGAUGGCAUGACAUGCUUGACAUCGUCCGACCGUGUGUGCUGUCCAAGGGCUAUGAUGGCAUGCCACGUCUAACGUCGUCCGACAAUGCGUGUUGUCCAAGGGCUAUGAUGGCAUGUCACGCCUGACAUCGUCUGACCGUGUGUAUUGUCCAAGCGCGAUGAUGGCAUGUCAUGCCCGACGUCGUCCGACCGUAUUUGCUGUCCAAGGGAUAUGAUGACAUUGUCAAGCCGAUGUCGUCCGAUCGUGUGUGUUGUUCAAGAGCAAUGAUGGCAUAUCACGCCCAACGUCGUCUGACUGCGUAUGCUGUCCAAGGGCUAUAAUGGCAUGUUACGUCCAACAUCAUCCGACCGUGUGUAUUAUCCAAGGUCUAUGAUGGCAUGCUACACCCGACAUCGUUCGACCGUGUGUGCUAUCCAAGGGCCAUGUGGGCAUACCACGACCGACAUCGUUCAACUGUAUGUGUUGUCCAAGGGCGAUAAUGCAAUGCUAAGACUGAAAACAGACCGGAAUGGGACCACCGCAUCGGAACGAACCGGUAUCAGACCGAAACGGGACAAGUUGACCGGUUCGUUGAUCGGUACCAGGAUGAAUCGGACUGGAAUUACCGGGAUGGAUACUCGGUUCCGUUUCGUCCCACUAUAUACCGGAUGGAACUUGAACGGACCGAAAUGAAAUGAGAUGGGAUAAGCGGGAUGACACAUCUAGUUAUUUCAAAAAAUGAUAUUUUGAAUUACGAAAAUAUGAAUUUUUUUUAUUUAUCUAAGUUUAAAUUAAUAUUUUUUAAAUUUAUAAUGUAAUUUUUUACUUAAAUUAUUUUAAAGAUAUUUUUUUAUAAAAAUUUUACUUAUUAAUUUGCAAGUUAAGUCUAAUUAAGUUUUCAAGAUUUAAAUCUUUUGAAGUUUAUAAGUUAUCUUAUUAUUUAUUAAUAUGUUAUAAUUUAUAAGUAAUAUUUAUAACCUGUAAUUUAAAUAAAUUAAAUUUAUAAUUUUAAAAAAUUAAAUAAAAAUAAGGAUAAAACAAUUACACAAAAUAAAAAAAAUAUCAAUUUAAUUUAUUUAAAGUUGUAUUAUAAAUUACAAUUUCAAUUUACAACUACUAGUAGAGUGCAUAGUUUACGCAACCACCUUCUAGGAAGGAACCUGUUUCAACUAAGUCUCGAAUGUAAUACUAACAAGAAGUAGUUGGGUUACUUGGGUAGUAUUUAUUAUUUAGUAUAAAAUAUAAAUUAUAAUUAAUAAAUAUAUAAUAUAAAUUAAUUAAUAAAAAUCAGUCGGACCAGAUUCGGACCGUACCAGAAUCAAAAUGAACCGGUACCGGUUCACCGUACCAAACCUCGGUUUCGUUCCGUUCUGUGUUUCGGUUCAGAAUGUCUUGUUCCGUCCCGUAGGCAACCGAACCGGAACGGUACCGAAAUGGUACCGGUAUAUCCCGUUUCGUUGCCCAGCCUUAUGCAAUGCUACGCCCGAUGUCGUCCGAUCGUUUAUGUUGUCCAAGGGUGAUGAUGGCACGCCACUCCCAACAUCAUCCGUCCGUGUGUGCUGCCCACGGGCCAUGAUAGACACGCCACGUUCGACGUCGUCCGACCGUGUGUUGUCCAAGGGCCAUGAUGACAUGUCACCCCCGACGUCGUCCAACUGUGUGUGUUGUCCAAGGGCUAUGAUGGCAUGUCAAGAUUAAAUUAAAAAAAUAUAAUCUGGAGGGAGUAAUUAUAUUAUAAAAAAAAAAGUAAAUUAUGUUGAGUAAUAAAGCUCUCGCAUAGUUUUAAUAAUUAUCUCACAAUUUCAACAUAUUCUACUAUAUUAGAAGUAUCACUUAAAAAGUGGGAUCAAUUUGUCUGUUUAAGUGCAAAUUAUAUUUGUUUAGGGGCAUUUUAAACUUUAUAGGUCAGACAAAAUUGUUAACUGUCAUUAUCCUAAAUACUUAGAAGCAAAUGCAUCAUUUUUUGUGGUGUUUUUGUAUCUCUACAAAUUUCUCCAUUCUUCUUUCUCUUUUGAUCAUAGAUUAAAUUGAUACUCAUUCACUGAAUUAAUUUUUUGGUCAUUCUUUUGGGCCUUUAUCAAAAUUUUCAAAUCCUCUUUAUGCAUCUUUCAAAUCUAUUUUUUUCUUUUUUUAAUGAAAAUUUGAUUUCUAUUUUGAUCAAAAUUUGAGAAGAAUUUGAAUUAGGACAAAAAUUUAUCUUAUUAUUUCUCCAGAAUUUUUAUCUGACUCGCUGCUCACUCAUCAGCAGUGUGAAAAUUGUGUUUCUUAAUCCAAUUUGAUAUUACGGUUCCUACAAUUUUGUUCUAAAUUUGAGCUUUAAUAAGACUUUGAAUUUUGAGUAGCCACGAAGUUUCAUCAAUCAGUCCUUUAUUAAUUUAUACCGAUAUGAAUGUCAUUUAAAAUGAUAUAAAUCUAAUUAUUUUGCAAAGUAAUUAUAUAUAAUAAAAAAAAAGAGUCGUAUUUCGUAGGAGUUUUCAUCUCUUUUUAUGUAGUAACUAUUUUUUUUUCUUUUCUUUUUUCAAGUAGUAACUAUUGAAACACAAGAUUUUGCUGAAGUUAUCUUGGUUGUGUUAAAUUAUUGUAAGCUCAUUAGAAGAUAUAACUCUGUUAGAUAUAACAUACACAAGUGUGUGCCACUAAAUUCUACACAACAUAAGGUGCGCUACUGAAUUCAUGUUGAAUGGAUAUAUACAUGGUCGUCAUUGAGAGGCAUGAGCAUCCGUUGGAUAUAUCAAAUACAAAAUGAAUUUUUUUUGAAUAUAUCGAAUACAAAAUGAAAUUCUUCGUUUUAUUUGAUAGUAUUAUCGAAGUUGAAAUUAUUUAUGUAUUUAUGAGAUCAUAACAAAAGAUUAUACAGUUUAAAUAAUCUAUUAAAAUUGUUAGGCCUGUGCGCAGCACGGGCAUUAUUUAUCUAGUAUAUAUAUAAAUGAGAAAACUCAUAUGCCUUAUACCUUAAAAGAAUCUAAUGUGUAUUGUGGCUCUCUCAAUCAUCAUAAUUAAUUGUUAAUUUGUUAUUCUUUCUAGGCGUAAUACAUAAAUAUGUCCUUUAACUUGGUUUCGAAUUACAUGUAGGAUCUUCAACUUUGAGUGUCCACAAGUAGAUAGUUAAAUUUUUAUGAAGUUGAACAAAUAGACACACGUGUCCUACAUGUCAUUUUUUAUCCUACAUGGUGUCCUAUGGGUAUUGUGUCAUGUAGGACUCAUGUGUUUAUUUAUUUAAAAGUUGGAUAGUUAAAAUGCAUGUUCGUGCAUUAUGAAAGUUGAAGGGUAAAGUUGAAAUUUAAAAUCAAGUUUAGAAUUUAAUAUAUAUAUAUAUAUAUAUAUAUAUAUAUAUAUAUAUAUAUAUAUAUAUAUAUAUAUAUAUUAUGCCUUCUUUCUAUCUUUCAUAUUGUUGUAAGAAGUCUAGCCAUGUACAUAAUUACUUAUGGCUUUUUUUUUUGGUUGUGUAAUAAUGUUUAAGAUUUAAAAUUUGAAACUUGUUAAGUCAAUUAUAUUAUUUCCAUAAAAUCUCUAUUCACUCAUUCAACAAUUAAAAAAAAUCAAACAAUAACAAUUAAACAACAAAUUCCAUGUAAAAGAAGAAGAAUCUUUAUUAAAUUCUCAGUGACAAAAGAAUUAGUACAAGGAAAAAUUUCAGCAAACCCAAAGAAUUAAAACAUUAAGUGCAAUAUCUUCACAAACAACACUAAAAUUGUUUGUAAAAAAACAAUCAUUUAUAUAUAUUUUUAUUUAAAAAGGUGCAAAAAUAUUUAGAAUGAAGAAGGAGAUGGAGCAGGAGCAUCAACACCAUCUUCAGCAGCACCACUACUCUUCAACUUAUUGUUCUUGUUGCAUAGGUCUGGCAAGUAUGCUCCUACACAUAAAUAAAUGCAAAAAUGUCGAAAUAAUUAAGACGGUUAUAUAGAUUAAAAAAAAAGUGAUGCAUAUAUAUUUUCAGUCUAACAAAUUAUGCAUAUUUUGUAAUAUGCGUCAUUUAUUAGACAACAGAAGUAUAUAUAUGCAUCAUGUUUUUUUAAUGAGUGAUAUAUCUGAACUGAAUCGUAAAAUUGUUAGAUUUACCUUCAGCAACAGCCAAGUUGAAGUAGAGGUCAACAAUAUUGGGGCAUUGUUGAUAACAAGCAGGGGCACAUAAUUUGGAGACAAAUUGAGGCUCAAGCAAAUCAUCAGAUGAAAUUCCAAAGAAAUUUCUAUUAAGACCACAAGAUUCAAUACAUUCAUCUGUUUCAAUGUGUUCCUUCAUGUUUUGAACCAUAACUUCUGAUGUCUUGCAUUCAUAUUCACUACUAAUUAAGUCAU